UGGGGAAUAUUGGACAAUGGGGGGAACCCUGAUCCAGCCAUGCCGCGUGUGUGAAGAAGGCCUUAUGGUUGUAAAGCACUUUAAGCGAGGAGGAGGCUCUCUUGGUUAAUACCCAAGAUGAGUGGACGUUACUCGCAGAAUAAGCACCGGCUAACUCUGUGCCAGCAGCCGCGGUAAUACGAAGGGGGCUAGCGUUGUUCGGAUUUACUGGGCGUAAAGCGCACGUAGGCGGACUUUUAAGUCAGGGGUGAAAUCCCGGGGCUCAACCCCGGAACUGCCUUUGAUACUGGAAGUCUUGAGUAUGGUAGAGGUGAGUGGAAUUCCGAGUGUAGAGGUGAAAUUCGUAGAUAUUCGGAGGAACACCAGUGGCGAAGGCGGCUCACUGGACCAUUACUGACGCUGAGGUGCGAAAGCGUGGGGAGCAAACAGG
rnacentral:rRNA from 1 species